rnacentral:rRNA from 1 species
UGGGGAAUAUUGCACAAUGGGCGCAAGCCUGAUGCAGCGACGCCGCGUGGGGGAUGACGGCCUUCGGGUUGUAAACUCCUUUCGCUAGGGACGAAGCCUUUUGUGACGGUACCUAGAUAAGAAGCACCGGCUAACUACGUGCCAGCAGCCGCGGUAAUACGUAGGGUGCGAGCGUUGUCCGGAAUUACUGGGCGUAAAGGGCUCGUAGGUGGUUUGUCGCGUCGUCUGUGAAAUUCCGGGGCUUAACUCCGGGCGUGCAGGCGAUACGGGCAUAACUUGAGUACUGUAGGGGUAACUGGAAUUCCUGGUGUAGCGGUGAAAUGCGCAGAUAUCAGGAGGAACACCGAUGGCGAAGGCAGGUUACUGGGCAGUUACUGACGCUGAGGAGCGAAAGCAUGGGUAGCGAACAGG